rnacentral:rRNA from 1 species
GGAAUCUUCCACAAUGGACGAAAGUCUGAUGGAGCAACGCCGCGUGAGUGAUGAAGGUUUUCGGAUCGUAAAACUCUGUUGUAAGGGAAGAACAGGUAUGAGAGGUAAUGCUCAUGCUAUGACGGUACCUUACGAGAAAGCCACGGCUAACUACGUGCCAGCAGCCGCGGUAAUACGUAGGUGGCAAGCGUUGUCCGGAAUUAUUGGGCGUAAAGCGCGCGCAGGCGGCCUUUUAAGUCUGAUGUGAAAGCCCCCGGCUCAACCGGGGAGGGUCAUUGGAAACUGGAAGGCUUGAGUACAGAAGAGAAGAGUGGAAUUCCAUGUGUAGCGGUGAAAUGCGUAGAGAUGUGGAGGAACACCAGUGGCGAAGGCGACUCUUUGGUCUGUAACUGACGCUGAGGCGCGAAAGCGUGGGGAGCAAACAGGAUUAGAUACCCUUG